rnacentral:lncRNA from 13 species
AUGAUCUCUCUGCUGGCCCUUGCUCCCAUUCCCCUCUUUCCCAGUUCCUCACCCUGCACUCUCCCUUUACAUUUUCUUUUCUUGCCCCUGAAUAUUCCCUCCAUAAUUGCAAGAUGCCUCCUUUCAGGGACCAGCUGUCUUCUCCAUGAAGCCUACCCUGAUUCUCCCACGGAGACGGCUGGCUCCCUUUUCCGAACUCCCACAACAUUUUGUCCAAACGGUGUUGGAAGCCACUGGGACUCCCAAAGAACAAGAUCUAAGCUGAAGGCACCGUCACCACCCCCACCAGUGCCUGACAUGGAAGGAGUGCCACACAUGCCCACUCUGAAUGCUGGACCAGCAGGCUCUGCUGUUCUGCCUUUCCAUUAACGCCUCAUCCUCUAGUCAAGGCAUUGUUUUCAUACCUCAUGGAUUUUGUCUUCUGUUUACACAAAAUUCAGCUUCUCUCAGGUGAGUUUUCUCUGCUUUUAUUUCUAUUAGCAACUCAUGAAUCUUCUCCGCUCACCCUUCAGUUCAGUCCUUAGAAGGAGAGAAUUCGAUUUCAGCAGUUGAUCACCAUUGUCUCUGUUGGGGAUGAGUUUUGCUCCUUGCUAACUCUGAGGUCACGGGCAGAUAUAUGAAUUGGCCGUCGUCAAGCCAGUGCCCGCUCAGCAGCUAGGAUGUGGACAGAAGAUAAUACAGCCACCUCGUGCAUCUCCCUAAGCACAUGCUGUGAUACCCAUGUUACUAUAUUUGAUCUUAGAGCAAAAUCCCAUCAAUCCACUGAUCUUAGUUCAGUGUGGCCUUUCUCCUGCUGCCCAGGGCUCCAGCAGGGCAAGUUGUGAUUUUUAAAAAUCACAACUGUAACCUCAGUACAGCCCAAAGCUGAUUGGUUCUCAAAGUUAUUGGACUAUUUUUUUGAAUGUUGAAUGCCACUGGAAUGUAUUCUCCUUGGCAUUCUUUGCCUGGCUAAUUCCUACUCAGUCAAGGCUCAGUUCAAGAGAUUAAUUUCCAUGAUGUCUCCUUCAUUCUAGAUUAUUUAAACAUUCUCUGUAAUCCUAAAGCAUUCCACGUAUGUCAGUCACAUCAUUUGCGCUUUCUACAGUAUUUAUUUAUUUAAUCACUGCAGAGGACAGGGGUCAUUUCUAGCAGCUCUAAAUCUUUUAAAUAGCUUCUCCAUAUUUUCAUAGUUCCCCAUGGUAUACAUCUCAAAUUACCGUCAAACCACACCUACAAUUCCCAGCCUCUUGUGCUAGGGUGCAGAUACUGAUUUAUAUUCUGCAAACCAGAUAUGCUCAUGCAGGACUUGGAUUCAUAUCUAAGUUUCAUGGGAAAAGAGGCAGGAUAUGGGCCAUUCAUUCUGCUGGCUUGGAUGAUGGCAGAUGUGAUGUGGUUAUGGAGCCAACAGUAGUGGUGGUAGCUUCCUGAUUCAGAGGUUCCUGUCUGUGGGAAAGAUCUCUUGUCUUUUGAGCGAGCUAUUUUGGUGGAGUCCUGGAAGCUCAGCAUAGAGUCUGUUUCUUCCCAAUGGUUUUUUGAGAUAUUUAUAAACCUUAAUUAAUCCCUUUCAGUUCAAACUAGCUAGAGUGGAUUAUAUUGUCCACAAUCCAGAACCUUAACCAAUACUGGCUUCUCUCCUAUCAGACUGAACAUGAAGGCAGGAAUCAUGCCCUACUUGUCUUUGUAUCUCUAGUACUUAGAACCAUGUGUGGCACACAGUAGGUUCUCAAUAAAUGUUUAUAGGUGAUAUGGAUCA